CACGUUAAUGUUUAGAUUUCAUUUUGGCAACCGGUCUAAUAACAAUUCACUGACACUGUCGUUGCCUAUCAACUUCGCUGGAUGAGGUUGUCAAAUGGAGUGAUUUAAAAUGGAGAAAAAAGAAGUGUGUGAUAGAGCAGUAAUGAGUGAACCAAACAUUCCGGCAAAGUGGAACCCAAGGAUUCUGGACUGUUGCUUUGACAGGAGAGUCUGUUUGUGUGGUACCUUCUGUUCAAUGUGCCUAGCCUGUCAGAUGGUUGAGAGGUAUGGCGAAUGCUUGUCUCCCCCUGCUGCUAACAACUAUGAUGAUGAUGAUGCGCACAUCAAUGAGAGAGAGAUACAACAUCCCGGGCAGCUUAAUUGAUGACUGGGCAGGGCACAUGUUCUGUGGACCCUGUGCUCUGUCAGAUGGCAAGAGAGAAGAAACAUCAGCUGGGUUGAGAUU